GACGAACGCUGGCGGCGUGCUUAACACAUGCGAGUCGAACGGAAAGGCCCUGCUUUUGUGGGGUGCUCGAGUGGCGAACGGGUGAGUAACACGUGAGUAACCUGCCCUUGACUUUGGGAUAACUUCAGGAAACUGGGGCUAAUACCGGAUAGGAGCUCCUGCUGCAUGGUGGGGGUUGGAAAGUUUCGGCGGUUGGGGAUGGACUCGCGGCUUAUCAGCUUGUCGGUGGGGUAGUGGCUUACCAAGGCUUUGACGGGUAGCCGGCCUGAGAGGGUGACCGGCCACAUUGGGACUGAGAUACGGCCCAGACUCCUACGGGAGGCAGCAGUGGGGAAUAUUGCACAAUGGGCGGAAGCCUGAUGCAGCAACGCCGCGUGCGGGAUGACGGCCUUCGGGUUGUAAACCGCUUUCGCCUGUGACGAAGCGUGAGUGACGGUAAUGGGUAAAGAAGCACCGGCUAACUACGUG
rnacentral:rRNA from 1 species